rnacentral:tRNA from 1 species
GGCGAUAUGGCUUAGCGGUAGAGCAAUGGACUUGUAAUCCAUGGGUCAGGGGUUCAAAUCCCCUUAUCGCCU